GUUUCCUAAUGACAAAAUAAAAUAAUAAUGUGGUCCUGUUAACAAUAUGAGCGUGAAACAUACGCGCUUCUUCAGCUUAGAUUCGUUGCGUCUAUAAACACAACACGUAGCAACUCUUUUCAUAAAAAAACACAUUUAUUAUCCUCAACAAUAAAAAAUAAAAUAAAAAACACAGUUGAACAAGGCAACGACCUCUAUUAACCGUCUGAUUCUCAAUAAAUCCAGUCGCCACUAUAAAUCAACGACUCAGAUUAGUUCAUGACGACCUACUUUAUUUAAAUUAUUUCUUUUUUUGUCGUGACCAAAUCUUUUAUAUUGUACAUUAGUCUCACUUAUUUUUAUAUUCAUAUUUCUUAGGUCGAUGUGUACCACAGUGAUUGGAACAAAAAC
rnacentral:lncRNA from 1 species